AACGAACGCUGGCGGCAUGCCUAAUACAUGCAAGUCGAACGAGAUCUUCGGAUCUAGUGGCGCACGGGUGCGUAACGCGUGGGAAUCUGCCCUUGGGUUCGGAAUAACGUCGGGAAACUGACGCUAAUACCGGAUGAUGACGUAAGUCCAAAGGUUUAUCGCCCAAGGAUGAGCCCGCGUGGGAUUAGCUAGUUGGUGGGGUAAAGGCCCACCAAGGCGACGAUCCUUAGCUGGUCUGAGAGGAUGAUCAGCCACACUGGGACUGAGACACGGCCCAGACUCCUACGGGAGGCAGCAGUAGGGAAUAUUGGACAAUGGGGGCAACCCUGAUCCAGCAAUGCCGCGUGAGUGAUGAAGGCCUUAGGGUUGUAAAGCUCUUUUACCCGGGAUGAUAAUGACAGUACCGGGAGAAUAAGCCCCGGCUAACUCCGUGCCAGCAGCCGCCGUAAAAC
rnacentral:rRNA from 1 species